rnacentral:rRNA from 1 species
GACGAACGCUGGCGGCGUGCCUAAUACAUGCAAGUUGAGCGCUGAAGGUUGGUCCUUGUACCAACUGGAUGAGCAGCGAACGGGUGAGUAACGCGUGGGGAAUCUGCCUUUGAGCGGGGGACAACAUUUGGAAACGAAUGCUAAUACCGCAUAAAAACUUUAAACACAAGUUUUAAGUUUGAAAGAUGCAAUUGCAUCACUCAAAGAUGAUCCCGCGUUGUAUUAGCUAGUUGGUGAGGUAAAGGCUCACCAAGGCGAUGAUACAUAGCCGACCUGAGAGGGUGAUCGGCCAAAUUGGGACGGAGACACGGCCCAAACGCCUACGGGAGGCAGCAGUAGGGAAUCUUCGGCAAUGGACGAAAGUCUGACCGAGCAACGCCGCGUGAGUGAAGAAGGUUUUCGGAUCGUAAAACUCUGUUGGUAGAGAAGAACGUUGGUGAGAGUGGAAAGCUCAUCAAGUGACGGUAACUACCCAGAAAGGGACGGCUAACUACGUG